UAAGGAAUAUUGGUCAAUGGACGAAAGUCUGAACCAGCCAUGCCGCGUGGAGGAUGAAGGUCCUCUGGAUUGUAAACUUCUUUUAUAGGGGACGAAAAAAGGACAUUCUUGUCCGUCUGACGGUACCCUGUGAAUAAGCACCGGCUAACUCCGUGCCAGCAGCCGCGGUAAUACGGAGGGUGCAAGCGUUAUCCGGAUUUACUGGGUUUAAAGGGUGCGUAGGCGGAUAGGUAAGUCAGGGGUGAAAUCUUCGAGCUUAACUCGGAAACUGCCUUUGAUACUAUCUAUCUUGAAUAUUGUGGAGGUAAGCGGAAUAUGUCAUGUAGCGGUGAAAUGCUUAGAUAUGACAUAGAACACCUAUUGCGAAGGCAGCUUACUACGCAUAUAUUGACGCUGAGGC
rnacentral:rRNA from 1 species